rnacentral:tRNA from 1 species
CAGGGAAUAGUUUAAAGAGAAUUUCAGCUUUGGGUGCUGAUGGUGGAGCUUUUGCUUCUUCCUUGAA